rnacentral:rRNA from 1 species
CUCCUGGAAAACGGGUGGUAAUGCCGGAUGCUCCAGUUGAUCGCAUGGUCUUCUGGGAAAGCUUUCGCGGUAUGGGAUGGGGUCGCGUCCUAUCAGCUUGACGGCGGGGUAACGGCCCACCGUGGCUUCGACGGGUAGCCGGCCUGAGAGGGCGACCGGCCACAUUGGGACUGAGAUACGGCCCAGACUCCUACGGGAGGCAGCAGUGGGGAAUAUUGCACAAUGGGCGCAAGCCUGAUGCAGCGACGCCGCGUGAGGGAUGGAGGCCUUCGGGUUGUAAACCUCUUUUAUCGGGGAGCAAGCGAGAGUGAGUUUACCCGUUGAAUAAGCACCGGCUAACUACGUGCCAGCAGCCGCGGUAAUACGUAGGGUGCAAGCGUUAUCCGGAAUUAUUGGGCGUAAAGGGCUCGUAGGCGGUUCGUCGCGUCCGGUGUGAAAGUCCAUCGCUUAACGGUGGAUCCGCGCCGGGUACGGGCGGGCUUGAGUGCGGUAGGGGAGACUGGAAUUCCCGGUGUAACGGUGGAAUGUGUAGAUAUCG